UAGGACUCUCGGCAAUGGAUAUCUUGGCUCUUGCAUCGAUGAAGAACGCAACGAAAUGCGAUACGUGGUGCGAAUUGCAGAAUCCCGUGAACCAUCGAGUUUUUGAACGCAAGUUGCGCCUGAGGCCAUCUGGCCAAGGGCACGUCCGCCUGGGCGUCAUGC
rnacentral:rRNA from 1 species